rnacentral:rRNA from 1 species
UGGGGAAUAUUGGACAAUGGGCGCAAGCCUGAUCCAGCAAUACCGCGUGUGUGAAGAAGGCCUGAGGGUUGUAAAGCACUUUCAAGUGGGAGGAACACCUGUUGAAUUAAUAGCCGACAGACUGACAUUACCACUAGAAGAAGCACCGGCUAACUCCGUG